GUAGUCAUAUGCUUGUCUCAAAGAUUAAGCCAUGCAUGUCUAAGUAUAAGCAAUUUAUACGGUGAAACUGCGAAUGGCUCAUUAAACCAGUUAUCGUUUAUUUGAUAGUACCUUACUACAUGGUUACCUGUGGUAAUUCUAGAGCUAAUACAUGCUGAAGACCCCGACUUCGGAAGGGGUGUAUUUAUUAGAUAAAAAACCAACGCCCUUCGGGGCUCCUUGGUGAAUCAUAAUAACUUAACGAAUCGCAUGGCCUUGCGCCGGCGAUGGUUCAUUCAGAUUUCUGCCCUAUCAACUUUCGAUGGUAGGAUAGUGGCCUACCAUGGUGGCAAACGGGUAAACGGGGGAAU
rnacentral:rRNA from 1 species